GACGAACGCUGGCGGCGUGCUUAACACAUGCAAGUCGAGCGGAAAGGCCCUUCGGGGUACUCGAGCGGCGAACGGGUGAGUAACACGUGAGCAAUCUGCCCUUAGCUUCGGGAUAGCUCCGGGAAACCGGAAUUAAUACCGGAUAUGACUAUGGCUGACAUCAGCCACGGUGGAAAGUUUUUCGGCUAGGGAUGAGCUCGCGGCCUAUCAGCUAGUUGGUGGGGUAACGGCCCACCAAGGCGACGACGGGUAGCCGGCCUGAGAGGGCGA
rnacentral:rRNA from 1 species